AUUCGAGGCGACGGGCUCCGGGCCCUGAUAGAUGGGGUGCGGGGACGGAGACAAAUGACGGCCUUUGGGCUCGGAAUACCCACCUUUCUGGUAAUGCAGCCCAGCGGGUCCCAGCCUCGUUUUCCAGCCCUCACUCAAAAUGGAGUCGCUCUGGUUCGAACGCCUCUGACAAGUGUGUACCUACGUGUCAGGCCCAUCCUUCCUGCAGGCCUUUGUCUUGGUGUCACCCUGCCUGAGCUGGCCCCAACCACAGUAGCAACAGUGAUGCUGAUGUGUGACUGCUGCCAGGAGCCUGCUCACAUGACCGUGUGGAGAAAGUUCUUUCCCUGAGGACCAUCUGGAGUGGACGCGUGCACUACCCCUCUCUGAAUACACCCUCCCCACGAGGCCCUCUGGAGCAUCCUGUAGAGCCAGCCCCUACCCAGAGACCCUGAGCCCAGAGAAUGCGCUGGGUGGUGAGCCUGGGGACGAAUGCAGAGCCCUAGGUCUCCUCUCCAGAAAGACCGGAUUUUGCCAUGUUGGCCAGGCUGGUCUUGAACUCCUGACCUCAAGUGAUCCACCUGCCUCGGCCUCCCAAAGUGCAGGGAUUACAGGUGUGAGCCACUGCACCCGGCCUCAGGCAGGUAUUUUUACCAGCCGAAUACUCUUGCACUGUGCACUCUUCGUGUUCAUCAUCAGUCCCCCGGAUGGGUGUUUAAGGCAUUUCCAAAGCUCUGUUAUUAAAAACACGAUGCAAUGAGUUUCUUUCAGCA
rnacentral:lncRNA from 1 species